ACUGCAGCCCCAACUACUACUACUGCAGCCCCAACUACUACUACUGUGGCCCCAACUACUACAACUGUAGUACCAAUUACUACUACUGGAGUACCAUCUACAACUACUGUAGUACCAACUACUACUGCCGUACCAACCACUACAAUUGUAGUACCAACUACUACUACUGCAGCCCCAACUACUACUUCUGUAGCCCCAACUGCUACAACUGUAGUACCAAUUACUACUACUGGAGUACCAACUACAGCUACUGUAGUACCAACUACUACUGCAGUACCAACCACUACAACUGUAGUACCAACUACUAUUACUGAAGUACCAACUACUACUACUGGAGUACGAACUACUACUAUAUCCCCAACUACUACUACUACUACUACUACAGCACCAACUACUACAACGACCAAACCAGCUACAAGUACAACCCAGGCAGCCGUCCCAGCCGCUACUGCUACUACUACGACUACUACUACUACUACUACUACAACUACUGCCUCCUCAGCUGUGUCUUUGGUGAGAUUGAGCUUGGUCCAUUCUCUUCUGGGACUCAUCCUGAUGCUUCUGUUUUAACUGAAACACAAAUGUGUUGAAGUUCUUGUGUUUUACAGUUUGUAUUAUUCUUUGUGUAUGACAUGUAUUUAAGAAACUUAUAAAUCUGACUAUUUAUUCUGUGUAAAUUGUAUUCACAUCUUUUGAUGUCCAGACGUCAGUUUCAGAUCUUGUUUAUUAUUCCACAUGUUAAAAAAGUCCAGUCUACUGCGGGCAGUAAAAGCUUCAACACUUUUCAGUGAAGUCUCAGAGAUGCCUCUGAGUUUGAAGUAUUUGUGUUAUUUAUUCUUCUGUAUUGUUUUGUAUUUGUACAUAUGAUAAUAAAUAUUUAUUUUAACAAAGAA